rnacentral:rRNA from 1 species
AUGGGUGACACCCAUCGCUUGAACCUCCCUGCAUUAUUUGAUGACCCUCACCUCGUCGUCUUCCGCGAUGAAGGCGCCGGCAGUCUGAAGCUUUGGCCCGUCCUCCGUUAUACUACGCCUUGUAGGGAGUUCACAUGCCUCCAGGUCCAUGCUUCGCGAGAUGGCCUUCUCGUCUUCUCCAACACGAUUAGCCACGCCAGCGACAGGAUCUUCUACGUCUGCAACCCUACUACUCGCCAGUUUGCUCCACUUCCGCAACUAUUCGAACCUGGACGACAAGGUUUCACCACUAGCAUAUCCGGCCUCUACCUGCACCAGCCAUCCCACGAGUACCGGGUCCUAUACUUCUGCCGUGUCCUGCCAGCAAACUGGAUUGAUUCCGUGGCGGCUGAUUUCUACGUCAUGACAGUAGGGUCAGACGAGCCAAGAAGAUUCAUAGGACAGCCGCCUCCAUCGUCUCCACCUUCGAUCGGACAGGCGUUGCUCAAGGGGCUGCCUUGUUCCAACUUGAGCGCACCAACCUUCCACCAUGGCAGCCUGCAUUGGGACCUCGGGCGGUACCACCGGAAGUACACCGACAAGCACGAUAUAAUGGUGUUUGACACCACGGUCGAGACGUUUCGGUGGAUGCGCCGCCCCGCCGAGGCCCCACUCGGACUCUGGACAUUGUUGUCGGAGAUGAAGGGCGCACUUGCUUUGUUUAGCGGCAGUGACGGUGUCAUCAUGGAUGUCUUUGUGAUGCAGGACUACAAGGAGGAGGUCUGGGUUUUACGACACCGGAUUAACUUGUCGGCUGCCGUGACAGCAUUGCCGCAAUUCGACUUGACAAUGGGUGUGGUCAACGAGCGUGAGUUUCUCAUCGAGCUUCCCGGGCGUCUGCUGCACUGUGACAUUGAUGGUAAGGUUCUAGGAGUCGUGGACGAAGACGGCCACCGCAUACAUAUCACUACGUAUUCGCUCAAAGAGAGCAUUGUGCCGCUUGCUUUGUUUCAGGAGCAGAAAGGACAUGGUGCGAGUGAUGAGCCCCGUCCAUUCUUCCUUGGGAUGUAG